CUUCUGUAAGGCAGUUGAUGAGUUCUGACUCAUAAAGAAAAGCCACUCACUGAAUCACCAGGUCACAGGUCCAGCAUCUGGAACCAGACAGCAUUUAUUGGGCAGAAGAUACUCCUGUUGGCAGUGCUCUAAGAUAGGUUGUUGGAAAAAUGCUUAAGAGAAUAAUAGAGUUGAAAAUAAAUGUAAAUCAAAACCUGACCCUCCAGGCAUGCAGUCCCACCAGCUCUUGGAAACCACAGCCAACUCGACUGGAGCGUAGAAGCUGUGGGACCAAAUCGCUUCUUAUUAAUUCAUCGCACAAGUGCUAACAGCAGCUCAUGGGAAGUGGAGAUGGCAGACGUCUCAUCCUGCGGGAAGCCCGGGGGAAAAAUGAAGAAGUGACCUCAAACUAUAUUUUUGCCUUCAGCCUGGCAGCGCAAACUCCCCUCUGUCCCCCACCCCACUACGUGUUACGCCUGACACCCGCAUCGCCCAACGCAAAAGAUGCUGCAGUCAACGGGGAACGUAAAUAGCCAGAGUUAAUUGUUCAGUGUGUUUUGUGCUCCCGGUCUUCAUUGUAUGCUUGUCUGGUGUUGUGAGUGGCGCCUGUGUUGGCCACCCAUCCCGAGAGCAGUGGGGUUAAAUUUCUGCCCCGCUCUCCUGAAGAUGGAUUCUUUGUUGACCCUCGCUAUUCCAUGGCUUCGGAAGCUUUCGUAGUGCAACCACUGAAAGCCCAGCAAAUCCAGUCUGACCGGCAGAUGUGAGUAUCUUCUGAUUCAGCAGAACAGAUGUGACUUCUGUGCAUGUAGGGAAACCAAACAUCCCUCUGAAAUACAGAGGCAAACUCCUUGGGGAGAUGUGUCGUGCUGCAAAGAGCUGAGGGCAAAUUGAAUUUGAGAAGAGAGACAGGCAGAGGGUAAAAGCUGCAUGAAUAUGUAAGGUAGGGGGAUUUCUGCAGAAGACAUUACUGCAGACUCAGCUGUAAUUAAACUGCCCACAGCUGCUGUUUCUCUGUCACCUUUGGAAGGGGAAAAUGCUUUAACCAGCAGCAAAGUCAAAGGAAAACUUUAGGUAUAACCUAAGAUCUCAAGUUGCUCAAUGUGACCUAAAAGAAAACCAUUUUAUUUUACCUUGUCACCUUACUGAUAUCCAUGUCAGAAUCGAAUAAACUGCUUUACUUUGGGAAGACUUUGGAGUAGAUUGCCUUGAAAACGUGGAAAAUCUGUUCAUUUCACAUAUGCAUCCUGGUGGUUUAUUCCCCUUCCCAGUGGGAACAAAGAGGGAAGAUUAAAAAGAAAAGUUUCAGGAGUUUUCAGAGUUUCUUUUAUUUUCUUGCUUUCUAUUUAAAAAGUGUGCUUGUGAAAGAGAGAGGAAGGGAAAGGAAGAAAAUAGAGAAUGAGACUCUGUAGAAGGAGGAAGAUUUGGGGAAUUCUGCCAUUCUUCCUAUUCACUCUUUUUCCCUACUUCUUUCCAGCAGAAGGAAAGAGAGAGGGAGGGAAGGAAAACAAUUAACUGAGGAAGGUGAGGGCAAGGAAUCCAAACACUACAGGUUUUGCUUUUAAUAAGGCAACUAUAUUUGCUCUUAAAUUUUUGGUCAACAUUUCCUAUGGGAAGAAUACUUUUAAAACCAGCUCUGCUUGUUACGCAUCGUUAUUUGUGUAUAUGGCACUCUGCAUGUCUGCAAGAAGACAAAAUCAUUCCGCAGUGUUUGCCUCAGUGCGGCCAGAUCUGGCAAAAAGUCUAGUUUUAAGAUACGUUAGUGGAAAUGGAUGCUAUUCUUGUUGACACCAGAUAGGUCUCUCUUUGAGGUAAGAAGAUAGGCAGAGCGCUGUAAUGCUGCAAAAACUGUUUGGGAAUAUACAGUCAACGAGUGAAGUGAAACUGAGGUUAACUCAGGGAAGCUCAAAUUUAAUUUCCAAGGUAGCACUCAAAAAGCAUAUCUGAGGAACAGAGUAAGUCUGCAUAAAAAAGGAACAAGAAGUGUGGGUUUGCAGGCAGGGAAUAAAAAGCAAAUUGACAGCCAUGCCAUAAAGGCUGGGGGUAUAAAGGACAAGCCUAGAGCAGAAGGGAAGAAAGCACAGAGUAUGACAGACCAUUAUCUUUAAAGGCAAGAACUGCAGAGUGUGAGAAGCAACUAGCUUUUUUGUCUUUCAAGGAAGCAUUAGAUACGGGAAGACAAAACAAUAACCCAGGCGAAAGUGGGGUCCCCAGGUUGCAGGCAACAUUUCAUACCAGCAGUGCAAUAAGCCCUUCAGCCCUCUUCCAGUUACAAACCAGUAAGGGUACAGUUCAGAUGCAAGCUCCCAAAUUGCUCUAUGGUAAAUGAUGCCAGUAUAAAAUACAUUUGUGAUAUGAAUAUUUCUUAAAGGCAGUCACAAGAACUGCAUUGCUUAAUGGCCACUCUCCUCCUGUAAAUGUUUUGCUUUAACUAACUGCCCUAUUCUUUCUUUCAAACGGGACAACUGGUGUUUUCUUAAUUAAAGAUAUCAGGUCUGAACAUGAUGCUCGUAGGUUAUUAACUUUAUAUCAGACUAUUCUUCAAAUGCCGUACUUUGGUUCUUGAGGGAUCCUGCAGCAAAGUGAGAUACAAUGAUCUCCUUAAUCAGAGACUCUAAGGCAUCAGAGUUAGAGCUAAUUAGGAUUUAUGAGACGUUGGAGGGAAUAUAAUUUGUAUGCAAACACUAUAGGUGCUAAGGGGUUUCAGAUGAUGACUAUAGAUCUCAGCUGAGCUCAGGUACCACAGUUUGACAGGAUAUACCAUUAGGAGUACGCUAGAUAUUAUUCCUCCAUUUAAUCUGAUUUUCAGUCAGAAGGCUAAGGCAGGGAAAAUACUGUGCAUCUGACACAAUUUUGUGGCCCACCUUUUAUUAAAAUCUAGGCUGGGACUGAAGCAGCAAUCAACACCUCCUGCUUAAAAAGCAUUUCUUUUCAGUAAAGUCUCAGCCACUGAAGCAGCACGUCCCCAUUCAGAUGUCCGUCCUGCU